ACGGUUGAGUAACACGUGGGAAUUUCCCCUUUAGUGAAGAAUACUCUCGAGAAAUCGAGAUUAAUACUGCAUACGUCCCUUCGGGGAGAAAGGUGGCCUCUUUGCUGCCGCUAAAGGAUAAGCCUGCGGACUAUCAGCUAGUUGGUGGGGUAAAGGCCUACCAAGGCUAUGACGGUUAGCCGGCCUGAGAGGGUGAACGGCCAGACUGGAACUUAGACACGGUCCAGACUCCUACGGGAGGCAGCAGUGGGGAAUAUUGCGCAAUGGGCGAAAGCCUGACGCAGCGACGCCGCGUGGAGGAUGAAGGCUUUAGGGUCGUAAACUCCUGUUAAGUGGGAAGAAAGGUCUGUCUUUAAUAGAGACGGAACAUGACGGUACCAUUAGAGAAAGCACCGGCUAACUUCGUGCCAGCAGCCGCGGUAAUACGAGGGGUGCAAGCGUUAUUCGGAAUAAUUGGGCGUAAAGGGUGCGUAGACGGCAUAUUAAGUCAACUGUUAAAUUCUCCGGCCUAACCGGAGGUCUGCGGUAGAAACUGGUAAGCUAGAGGGUGGAAGAGAGAAGUGGAAUUCUCGGA
rnacentral:rRNA from 1 species